AUUAGUUUUUAUUUCCAGGUGGGAAAUCACUUCAUAAGUGGCUUCCCCUCAAACCAUGGGUUUUCUAUAUACUUUUAGCCAAGGCAUAUGACUGUUGGAUAGAAAAGUACUAGUGAAAAGUCCAGCACUUUAUUAGACGUUAGGUUUGAUAAAUGAUCUGAUAGUCUGAAACGUUACCUGUUUUGCUAUCAGCACUGAAUCAAGGAACACUGUGGUAUUCAAAGGUUUGCACUGAGCUUUUCAUUAUAACUUUACUAUUAUAUGACUUUUGGAGGAACGGACGUCCAUGCACCCUUUUCAGUAAAUCCCUUUAUUUUAUCUGCUACUCACCAUCAUUAGCCAAAUCCAACUUGUAAGUUCUUUUGAUUGAUGUAGGGAGUCUGUUAUAAGAUCAUGUGUUAUUUGAUAUUAAUUUUCAGUAUAUGUUAAAUUAUACCAAACGUGUAGAAGUUCCAGUAGGAGAAACUUAAACCUUGUAGGCUGUAUACCCGCCUUUAUGGAACUGGGAACAGAGUCACCAAGGUAAUUCAUGUUUAUUUUAUUAUUCUAAUGCAGGAGUAGGCAACUCCAGAUAUCUUGGACUACAUCUCCCCUGAUGCUUUGCCAGCAUUAAUGGAGAUGUAGUCCAUGACAUCUGAAGUGCCAAAGUUUACCGACCUCUGUUCUAAGGUGAACCAAAUACAGAGCUUUGCGUUAUGCGUUUGAUGGCUUUCCCAUUGUUCCUAUCAAAAGGUAAUUGCUAGAACACCUCUCAAAAUAUUUAGUACUGUUAAAGCGAACUGUUAUUAUUUUCUCUCUGUUGUUUUGUUCCCUAACCUCACUUAAAGAUGUUAUUUUCCACUGCUUGUGGAAAACGAUUAAUUGUCCAUAUUAGCUAUUAUGAGAAUUCCGGCAGAUAAACAAUUACUCCUUAUGUUUUGUUCUUUUAAUCUCUAGGCACGGCGUGAGGUUUGCAAUAACAUUAAGAAGAGCUAAAAAUGGACCUCAUUUAGUAAUUUAGUAAAACAACAACAAUGUAUCGUAUCUAAUACGGUUUUCAGAGUUUACAGAGGAAGAUAUUUAUUAUCAAUCUUUUAUUAGCUGCGAUUUAAUUACCUUCAAAAAUGCGAAUCCAUCUCCGUUACCAUGCCUAUUCUUUGAACGCAUUAGAAUUCUGACAAAUAUCUAUCAUUGCCAUAAUAAACUGCAGCCAUCUUAGCUACCUUAUCACAUCUUGUAUGAAUCAGCUUUUGAUUUAUUAGAAAAAUAUGAACUGCAGCCAUCUUAACUUCCCUGUCACACCUUGUAUGAAUCAGCUUUUGACUUAUUAGAUGAACAAAUCAUCUAGAUCCUCUUUCCUAUUGUUCUGUCUAUGUUUACUGCUCUACCGUCUACCGCCUUACCCAAUGGUACAAACCUCUGGCAUAUGUUGAUGCAUCAUGAAUACUAAUGAUAUCUACACAGUGUAUACCAACACUUCACAGGCAAUAUUUCAUUGCAAAAAAAUUAACAGAGGGUAGGUUUCUAGCAUGUAUUAUCCAGAUGUGAAGGCAGCUCGAAACACCUGAACCGGAGUCUUUCCUAUCCGGCCGUUAGCGUUCUGUAAUAAAAUGUUCGUGGGCUGUAGGAAGCCCAAACUAAGAUUAUAACUUCAGACAAAUUUCUAGGUUACAACUCCAGAGAAUACCAUAGUCAGUCAUUCCCAAUAUCACAACUUUAGAAUGAAUUAUUACAGAACAUAUACAAGAAGGAAUGGUUUGUAAGAAGCCCAGUCUCAUAUGACUCUAGUAACAGUCCGUUUUCGUCAUACAACUUCAUAAAAAGCUAUUUCUGAACAUUGCUCCAGAAUACAAAGACAGUAGGCAGAAGAGUCAGAGAUCAAAACUCCAGUACAGCUCCAGAAUGAACCAUAGGUAGGCCAGCCUCAGAGUACAGCUCCAGAAUGAACCAUAGGUAGGCCAGCCUCAGAGCACAGCUCCAAAAUGAACCAUAAGUAGGCCAGCCUCAGAGUACAGCUCCAGAAUGAACCAUAAGUAGGCCAGCCUCAGAGCACAGCUCCAGAAUGAACCAUAGGUAGGCCAGCCUCAGAGUACAGCUCCAGAAUGAACCAUAGGAAGGCCAGCCUCAGAGCACAGCCCCAGAAUGUUCUUGACACAUGUCCAAUUUCAUUUCCCCAGUAUUGUACAAUGGCAAUGAGUACUGGGUCAUAAUAUUUAGGUUCUGUUCUAGUUCUAGAAUGAGUUCAGAUUAUAUGGUAUAGAAUUUGCACUGUGAUAGCUCAUCAGGAUGCAUUGUUUUGUACUUAAACCUCAAAGUAUCAAGACAAACAUAUCCUAGAUCUGCUUUUUCAAUGGUGAGUUAUGAUUUUGUCAGCUAGCUGUACAAAGAAUCCAUCCAUUCCAUGUUUGGAAUCAUUUUGCAAUCGCUUGUUAACAGUUAGGAAUUGCCUAUUUAUAAUGUGUAAAGAGAAUGAAUGUUAAACUAAUAAUGGAGUAGUCAAACACCUGUGUGCAUACAUUAUACUAAGGCAAAGAGAUUAAGUGUAUGUUCUAUUCUUUUUAACAUUUAAUGGGAUUCUAGUCUAGAGAAAACACAUUAAAAGAAGAUAACUCCACCAGUCGUUAAUUAACAUAUUAAGACAGUGACAAUAUUUUAUUAAAGAUCAUAAUACAAGCCCAAAUUACAUUUCACACAUGAUUAAAGUAUAUUUAAAAAGGUUCUGCAUUCUCUCUUCAUUAUCGUCCCCUACACAUUUUGUCUAUCAAUAUUUAUAUUAACCAUAAGUAUUUAUUUUCAUUGGAUUCAUUUUUUUUUUGUCAAUUUAAUGGCAUAGUAAUUUUCAUAAUUUUAGAAUAUUAUUUAAAAGUUAUUUUUAAAAUCAACGGUUGUUAAAUAUCCUAAACACUAUCGAACUUUGUAUUCUGAAAGUAAUCAGAUAUAAUUGUCAGAAAUAGAAAAUGUCGCAAAUGUUUAUUUGCCAAAAGUGACGUACCUACAGAUAGAGGUAGUCAAUGUACAGUAGGACAGAGAGCUUACAGGAAGAGUCCACGAACGUAUUUUGAAAACCAAUGCAAAUUACCCAACAAAACCAAAAAUGAAAAUUAGAGUAAAUUAUAUAUACAGAGAGUCAUUUACGCAAUUAAAUAUUGGGAAAAAAAACAUAGCAUGUAAAUCCUGAGCCUAAUACUCACAUAUAGAAAUUACCUUACAAUUCGUGUCAUAUGACAAAUUAAGAGUUAACAUAGACAGAGUUAUUCAAAAAUGAAAAUUAGAGUAAAUUAUAUAUACAGAAAGUCAUUUACGCAAUUAAAUAUUGGGAAAAAAAACAUAGCAUGUAAAUCCUGAGCUUAAUACUCACAUAUAUGAAUUACCUUACAAUUCGUGUCAUAUGAUAAAUUAGGAGUUAACAUAGACAGAGUUAUUCAAUAAACUGGGAAACCUAGAUAGAAUUAUUCUCUAAAGUGAAAAUUCGAAGGGAAUUUCAAAUGUAAAGCCAAAAUGCUUUCAGUUUGACAAUUUUGGCCGUAACGGGUUACUCCAAGCACCAAGACCACUUAAGUGAUUUGAAGUGGUCAUGGUGCCUAGAGUCUAAUUAAACCCUUUGCUGCAGGAGGUGUUACUGGCUAAUGUCAAUUCUGUGCAAAUUUCUACGUACAGAAUUGCUGACGCUCUCAGCCAAUGAAUGGCCGGUAGGAUCGGCAUCCGGAUUCUGCAGCUGCAGGUCACAGCUAAUGGGAGAGGACUCCUAGUGUCUGGAAAGAUCAGGUGGGAGCACAAACUGUUGCAAACCGUUGUUUUUAUUACCAGGAAACAGUACACUUGGCUGUAGUGGUUAAGGUACUUGGAGUAAUCCUUUAAAUUAAUAUUCACUUUGAUACUGACAUGGGAAAUGCAAAUAACAGGCCAAAAUGUUUGAAAUUGAAUCAUUUUCUGGUUAUUUUUUUUAAAUCUAUUUUAAUAUUAAUGGGAAAUCCCCUCUUCAUUUCCAAGAUAGUAAAAUAAUUUGCGUGUCUUUUAAGAUUCAAAUAAGAUUAUUCAUUCACAUGGUAUAUCUGCUUUUAUUUUAAAUAGUAAGACCUGUAUAAAUGAUCAUAUGAACCCUUUUUAAUGUGAAGGAUGGUCAAUUAAAGUGCUAGUCUUCAUAGCAGACAAAGAAAAUAUGCAUGAAACAGUUACUUUUAUCCUUUGUUUAGGAGCAUUCUAGAGAAGAUUUAAACAUAAUGGAGCUUGCUUUAAUGACUUACUAUGACAAAUACUUUGCUUGUCAAAAGCCCUGGAUAUAAUGCAGAACUAAGAAAGUUAAUUAAAAUGUCAGAUGUUUUUAAAGGUUUGUCUCACUGCUAGGAUUUUACUUCUAGCCAUGUUAUUAUAGGGUAUGAACUAAAAGGAUUAGAAAUAUUUUAACUAAUUUCAUAGUUUAAAUUAUUACUUUUUUUAUUGACAUAAAUAUAUACUUUAGGGUCUGUUACAUGUGCAGUUAUUUUGUCUGCCAAUCUGUUCUCAAGCAGAAAUAUUCUGAAUAUUUCGAUGCAUGUGAAAUUUAUUUACUCAACUUGGAUUUCUGACAAAUUAACAAGAGAAUUUCAAAUUGUCGGCCUGUAUAGCUAACUAAGGAACAUUUUGUUGCUAUUUCAAUCCAAAAUGUAAAAUUUCUAUAUCAAUUCUCAACAAUUUUAGAAUUGUACCUGGGAACUACUAAUAUUUUAAUGAAAACAGUUGAAAUGAAUGGUUUAUUUUAAGGUUUACAUUUCAUAAAUUGUUCAUUUCUGUGGUUGCACAUAUCAAGAAUUACAUUUUUAUGCAUUGUAAUAAUUUUGAGCCAUAGAUAAUCAAUGUUCUAAAUUAACAAUAAGAUCAUUUUAGAGUAUCAAAACACACUUGAUUUAUGGUCGUCUGCAUCUAAAAAUUGUCGUAGAGUUCUCAUAUCUUCAUGAAGUCUAUCUGGUUUGUAACUGUUUGCUUAUCAUAUGCCCAUGAUAAACCUCUCCAUUUCGCCUAAUGCAAUAAAAUAUUUUCAUACUUGCAUGUUUUUGUUUUUUUGCCAGAAACAAAAAUUCUUUAGGAUUAAAAAAAAAAUCAUCUAUAUAUAAGUAAAUAUAUACAUAUGCUUAUAAUAUAGGAGCGAUAUUGAUGCAUAUAUGUAAAAUAGUGGUUUUAUUUUUUUUAAAUCUUAACAAAAAUGCAGCAUCAUGCACAAGAAAAAAAUGGUAUUUUGCCUGCACUUAGAAAUCCGAGCAAUGCUUAACCCUUUUCGCAACGAGGGGUACCGUGUGAUAAAUUAAAAUGCCUUGCCAAUUUUUCAGCACAGACGGGUAAUAGAACACUCUGAAUGUCCAAUUUAAAUACGCAAAAUAGAACUCACUUAGAGUGCACUUUGGGUUAUAUACCACAGAACUGGUUCUCCUGCAGAGAUACUUUGUACAUAACAGAUGUAUUUAAUUUCCUUGUAUUUUGUAACUUACUUGUACACUGAAAAAAUACAGAAUAAAAAGCUCUUCUUUUUUUUUUUU
rnacentral:lncRNA from 1 species